GGAAAACAAGCAAUGGAUUCUGAAAAGAAAUUGGUUACCGCACAUUUCUUAAACAGAUUAACAUAGUUCCAUUUAUGAAGUAUGUUAAAGGCUUUCAUGUACAAACUGGUGGCAUUCACAGUAGUAAAACAGAAAAAGGAAACUGUAUUACCAUGCAUGUAAUGUGUUAAUAUGUUUUUCCUAGUCAAAUUUGUAAUGACCGACAAACACACAGACUGGAGGCCAAAGUGAGAAACACAAAAUUGUAUGGCUCCUCAUUUCAUUGCCUGAAACCGAGAAGCUGGAUAAGUGAUGAGGUUAUUGAUGCAUAUUUGAGCUGUGUGGUCGAGAAAGCAGAUGGAAAGGUACAAGCCAUCUCAUCAGUAGUUUCUACUAAUCAUUCUCUCAGGCAGAGCUCCACAAAUGAAAGUG